AAAUGAGUAUCUUGUAUUUUUGACCCAUGCUCUUGGAAUACAUGAAACAAAUCCUAUGAACUUAUUCAAAACAUUUCAAAAAGUGAUUCGUCCUUCGUCAAUUCUGGAAGUCUUGUAUGUCAUAAAGGAAACGUUUACAGAUGUUCACAAUCUACAUGCAAACAUAGGAACUUUCGGUUAAUAAUUAAUAUCCUUGUUUUCAGCACAAUUUGUGUUUACAUACCUAGUAUUGUCGAGGAAUAAAAGAUUAAUUUACUAUCUGCAAUAAUAUUUUGAAAAGACUGUUUGGGCAAUGCCCACCCUGGAAUUUGCCUCUAGCUACGGGCCUGGUUUUAUGCAAAAUUGUUU